GAGAGGGAGCGGAGACACGGCCGGCACCGGCAGCACCGCGCCCGCUCCGCGCGGCGCAACCCGCCGGCGCUCGGGCUUCCCCCUCGCUCGGUCAACCGCGGGGCAGCGCCCGCCCGGCCGGCCGGCCCCGAGCGAGGGGGAACGGUGCAACCUGUUGGCUGAGCUGCAGGUGCUACAGAGACAGAAGUAGCGCAAAGCCCGCAGAAUCACGCACGGCAGUGACAGGGGAAUAACUGCUACGUGGCUUUGGACAAAUCUUUCUGGCCUCAUGCAAGUUAUCCUAUGUGACUGAACAACCCGAACAUACCAUCUCCCUUUGUUCUCCUUUAAAACGAAAUGUUCCCUAGGACACUCCUACGUUGUAGAAAUAAAUGUAAUAUAAAAA